rnacentral:rRNA from 1 species
GAUGAAUGCUGGCGGCAUGCCUAAUACAUGCAAGUCGAGCGGUAACAUGAAUAGCUUGCUAUUUGGUGACGAGCGGCGGACGGCUGAGUAACGCGUGGGAACGGACCCCAAACUGAGGAAUAACUAGUCGAAAGAUUAGCUAAUACCGCAUGUGCUCUUCGGAGUAAAGCCUUCGGGCGGUUUGGGGCUGGCCUGCGUACGAUUAGAUAGUUGGUGAGGUAAUGGCUCACCAAGUCGACGAUCGUUAGAUGGUUUGAGAGGAUGGUCAUCCAGACUGGGACUGAGACACGGCCCAG